GGUCCAAUUCCAGGUGUAGCGGUGAAAUGCGUAGAGAUCUGGAGGAAUACCGGUGGCGAAGGCGGCCCCCUGGACAAAGACUGACGCUCAGGUGCGAAAGCGUGGGGAGCAAACAGGAUUAGAUACCCUGGUAGUCCACGCCGUAAACGAUGUCGACUUGGAGGUUGUGCCCUUGAGGCGUGGCUUCCGGAGCUAACGCGUUAAGUCGACCGCCUGGGGAGUACGGCCGCAAGGUUAAAACUCAAAUGAAUUGACGGGGGCCCGCACAAGCGGUGGAGCAGUGGUUUAAUUCGAUGCAACGCGAAGAACCUUACC
rnacentral:rRNA from 1 species